CAGUAGCCGCGGUAAAACGGAGGGUGCAAGCGUUAUCCGGAUUUAUUGGGUUUAAAGGGUCCGUAGGCGGAUCUGUAAGUCAGUGGUGAAAUCUCACAGCUUAACUGUGAAACUGCCAUUGAUACUGCAGGUCUUGAGUAAAUUUGAAGUGGCUGGAAUAAGUAGUGUAGCGGUGAAAUGCAUAGAUAUUACUUAGAACACCAAUUGCGAAGGCAGGUCACUAAGAUUUAACUGACGCUGAUGGACGAAAGCGUGGGGAGCGAACAGGAUUAGAUACCCCAGUAGUCCCUGUCUCUUAUAC
rnacentral:rRNA from 1 species